rnacentral:rRNA from 1 species
ACUUAAAUUGAAGAGUUUGAUCAUGGCUCAGAUUGAACGCUGGCGGCAGGCCUAACACAUGCAAGUCGAGCGGUAGCACAGAGAGCUUGCUCUCGGGUGACGAGUGGCGGACGGGUGAGUA